GCUGGGUGUGGUGGCACGUACCUGUAUCCCCAGCUACUAGGGAGGCUGAGGUUGGAGAAUCACUUGAACCCAGGAGUUUGUAGCUGGAGUGUGCUAUGCCAAUAGGGUUUUUACACUAAGUUCAGCAUCAGUAUGGGUGAGUGAGCUUCUGGAAGCAGGGAACCACCAUAUUGCCUAAGGGGGGGGUGAACUAGACCAGAUAGGAAUAAGAGCAGGUCAAAACUCCUGUGCUGAUCAGCAGUAGGAUCAUGCUUGUGAAUAGCUACUGCACUCCAUCCUGGGCAACAUAGCCAAAUCUCAUCUCU
rnacentral:SRP_RNA from 1 species